UGACUCUCGGCAACGGAUAUCUCGGCUCACGCAUCGAUGAAGAACGUAGCAAAAUGCGAUACUUGGUGUGAAUUGCAGAAUCCCGUGAACCAUCGAGUUUUUGAACGCAAGUUGCGCCCGAAGCCAUCCGGCUGAGGGCACGUCUGCCUGGGCGUCACG
rnacentral:rRNA from 1 species